rnacentral:rRNA from 1 species
GGUUAGACGAAGAAUCUAAAUGAAAUAAUUUAUUAUUCAAUUAACAGUAGAUAAGUUAGAGUAAAUUUAUCUUCUUUCUUAGGUGAAAUUUAUAUAAGGGGAAAAAAUAUCUUUAUUUAUUUGAAGGGAUUGUUAAGUGAAGACUCAAAACCAGGAUUAGAUACCCUGUUAUUCUUUAUUAUAUUUAAUAGGGUAGUAAAAGUUAUUCUUCAAACCCAAAGAUUUUGGCGGCAUUCUAACCAAACAGAGGAGCUUGUCUUAUAAUCGAUAAUCCCCGUUUUAUCUUACCUUUAUUUGUUUAGCUUGUAUACCUCCGUUGUCAGAUUACUCUAAAAGGAUGUUUUCUAGAAAAAUUAUUUUUUUACUUCAGGUCAAGGUGCAGUUUAUAUAAAGGGAAUGGUGAG